CAUGCAUGCUCUAAGUAUAAACUGCUAUACUGUGAAACUGCGAAUGGCUCAUUAAAUCAGUUAUAGUUCUAUUUGAUGGUACCUUACUACACGGAUAACCCGUAGUAAUUCUAGAGCUAAUACGUGCGCACACCCCGACUUCUGGAAGGGGCGUAUGUUAUUAGAUAAAAGGCCGACCGGGCGCAAGCCUCGGACUCACGGUGAAUCAUGAUAAACGGACGGACCGCAUGGCUUCAUGCUGGCGGCGUUUCAUUCAAAUUUCUGCCCUAUCAACUUUCGAUGGUAGGAUAGGAGGCCUACCGAUGGUGGUAACGGGUGACGGAGGAUUAGGGUUCGAUUCCGGAGAGGGAGCCUGAGAAACGGCUACCACAUCCAAGGAAGGCAGCAGGCGCGCAAAUUACCCCAAUCCCAAUACGGGGAGGUAGUGACAAUAAAUAACAAUACCGGCUUUUCAGUCUGGUAAUUGGAAUGAGUACAACGCAAACACCUUAACGAGGAUCAAUUGGAGGGCAAGUCUGGUGCCAGCAGCCGCGGUAAUUCCAGCUCCAAUAGCGUAUAUUUAAGUUGCUGCAGUUAAAAAGCUCGUAGUUGGAUUUCGGGGCGGGUGCUGCCGGUCCGCCUUUGGGUGUGCCACCGGUUGCGCCCGUCCUGCUGCCGGGGACGGGUACCUGGGCUUCACUGUCCGGGUCCGGAGUCGGUGAGGUUACUUUGAGUAAAUUAGAGUGUCCAAAGCAGGCCUACGCUCUGAAUACAUUAGCAUGGAAUAACACGAUAGGACUCUGGCCUAUCCGUUGGUCUGUGGGACCGGAGUAAUGAUUAAGAGGGACAGUCGGGGGGGCAUUCGUAUUUCAUUGUCAGAGGUGAAAUUCUUGGAUUUAUGAAAGACGAACUUCUGCGAAAGCAUUUGCCAAGGAUGUUUUCAUUAAUCAAGAACGAAAGUUGGGGGCUCGAAGACGAUUAGAUACCGUCCUAGUCUCAACCAUAAACGAUGCCGACUAGGGAUUGGCGGAUGUUCUAUCGAUGACUCCGCCAGCACCUUGUGAGAAAUCAAAGUUUUUGGGUUCCGGGGGAGUAUCGUCGCAAGGCUGAA
rnacentral:rRNA from 1 species